rnacentral:rRNA from 1 species
CCUACGGGAGGCAGCAGUGGGGAAUAUUGGGCAAUGGGCGCAAGCCUGACCCAGCAACGCCGCGUGAAGGACGAAGGUGCCAAGCAUUGUAAACUUCUUUUGUCAAGGGACAAAAUCAGGCUCGAGAGCCUGACCGAGGGUACUUGAAGAAAAAGCAUCGGCUAACUCCGUGACAGCAGCCGCGGUAAUACGGAGGAUGCGAGCGUUAUCCGGAUUGAUUGGGUUUAAAGGGUGCGUAGGCGGGCGGUUAAGUCAGCGGGAAAAGCCCGGGGCUCAACCCCGACGAGCCGUUGAAACUGGCUGUCUUGAGAUGUCGAGAGGUAUGCGGAAUGCGCAGUGUAGCGGUGAAAUGCUUAGAUAUUGCGCAGAACUCCGAUUGCGAAGGCAGCAUACCGGCGGCGAUCUGACGCUGAGGCACGAAAGCGUGGGUAUCGAACAGGAUUAGAUACCCCAGUAGUC